UGAACGCUAGCGGCAGGCCUAAUACAUGCAAGUCGAGGGGCAGCGGGAAUAGCAAUAUUUGCCGGCGACCGGCGCACGGGUGCGUAACACGCAUACAAUCUGCCUAUAACAGGGGGAUAGCCCGGAGAAAUCCGGAUUAAUACCCCAUAAUAAACGAGGAAGCAUUUCUUUGUUUUGAAAACUACGGUGGUUAUAGAUGAGUAUGCGUAUGAUUAGCUAGUUGGUAGUGUAAUGGACUACCAAGGCGACGAUCAUUAGGGGUACUGAGAGGUUAAACCCCCACACGGAUACUGAGACACGGAUCCGACUCCUACGGGAGGCAGCAGUAAGGAAUAUUGGACAAUGGGCGAGAGCCUGAUCCAGCCAUGCCGCGUGCAGGAAGAAGGACCUAUGGUUUGUAAACUGCUUUUGAACAAGAGAAAACCUGGGUACGUGUACCCAGCUGAUAGUAUUGUUAGAAUAAGCAUCGGCUAACUUCGU
rnacentral:rRNA from 1 species